GGAGCGCUCAGGGCCAGUUUAAUGCCACAAACACCGCUCGAGCGCCAUUUUUGGGCGCUAAGCGUCGGGAACAUGGGCUUGGACCUGUUUUCUGCGAUUUUUAUGAUCUGUUUGGGCUUGGACUUGUUUUCUAUUAUUUUGAUGUCCUAUUUAAAGACCUAGACACCUUAGGGUUUGUAAUCUAUUGGCAGAUAGGACACAGAAACACUCUUUUCACCCCUUGGAGGAGGAUUUUGGAUGUGGGAGCUCCAAUCUACAAAAUCUAGGGUUGAUCUUUUCAUCCUUUACAUUCAAUUCAUAUAGUUUCACCAUGUCAAUAGUGAACUAAAACCUUUGUUGUUGGGGAACGAUGUAAUCCUUUUGAAAC
rnacentral:lncRNA from 1 species